rnacentral:rRNA from 1 species
CCUGCCCAUCGGUGGGGGGUAGCCCGCGAAACGCGGGGUAAUUCCGCAUACGCUGGCCGGAGGGAAGCUCUGGUCAGGAAAGGGUCUUCGGACUCGCCGAUGGGAGGGGCCUGCGUCCGAUUAGCUUGUUGGUGGGGUAACGGCCUACCAAGGCAGUGAUCGGUAGCUGGUCUGAGAGGACGGCCAGCCACGAGGGGGACUGAGACACCGGCCCCCACUCCUACGGGAGGCAGCAGCAAGGUAGUUUUCCGCAAGUGGGACGAAAGCCUGACGGAGCAACGCCGCGUGGGGGAUGACACCUUUCGGGGCGUAAACCCCUUUUCUUGGGGACGAAGCAGUGACGGUACCCGAGGAAGAAGGCCCGGCUAACUACGUG